rnacentral:rRNA from 1 species
UACGUAGGGCGCAAGCGUUGUCCGGAAUUAUUGGGCGUAAAGAGCUCGUAGGCGGUCUGUUACGUCCGCUGUGAAAACCCAGGGCUUAACCCUGGGCUUGCAGUGGAUACGGGCAGACUAGAGGCAGGUAGGGGAGAAUGGAAUUCCCGGUGUAGCGGUGAAAUGCGUAGAGAUCGGAAGGAACACCAGUGGCGAAGGCGGCUACCUGGACAGAUACUGACGCUGAGGCGCGAGAGCGUGGGGAGCAAACAGG